GGCUUCAUGGUGUAGUUGGUUAUCACGCGACCUUAACAAGCGUCUUUCUCGACGUUAGUCCGGUCGAGGUCUUGAGUUCGAUCCUCAAUGAAGUCA